AUGGAAGAAGAUGAGAGGAGAGAGAGAGAAGAAAGGAGAGAGAGGAAUGAAGAGGCGUAUGAAGAGGCGUGAAAUGAGGAAUGAGGAGAGAGGAGACUGACCUAAACCCUUCCAAUUUCUUUUAAAUUAAAAUUUUUUUAAAAAAAGCCCAAGUAGGGCUGCGAUUUUUGGAAAAGCGCACCCCUUCACAAGGAAGGGUUGCGCUUGUCUAAAAAACGUAGCCCUUCUCUUUGUGAAGGGCUGCGCUUUUCUAUAAAAAUGCAGCCCUACUGUAAAGAAGGGCUGCGUUUUAUUUAAAAGCGCAGCCCUACUGUCUAGAAGGGUUGCGUAAUGAAGAAAGCGCAGUGCUUCCAGCUAGGGAUGGCAAUGGGUCCUGGACCCGACCCAGACCCGCCUGGACCCGACCCAUUUAUAAGGGUCUGGGUCCAUUUUUUUUAGACCCAAUGGGUCUGGGUCGGGUCUGGGUCCUGGAGAGCAUGGGUCGGGUCUGGGUCCGGGUCCAAAAAUGUCAGACCCAGACCCGGCCCAGACCCGACCCACAGACCCAUAAUAAUAAUAUAUUAAAAAAAUAAAAAAUUCUAAAAAAACUAAAACCCUAAUACAACUAUAGGAGUCUCUAACAGUAACAUUCUUCAAAAAAAAAAAGCUACAGCCGUUUCUUUCUUUCUCCAACUCCAUCUCCAUGGCUCUAACAAGUAACAAUCCUUGGAUCCUUCCUUGUUUCUACUCUCUAACUGUUGAAUUUGAUUGCGCGUUAAGCCGUUAACCAUACAAUCCGGCGACCUCCUGGCUCCUGCUCUCCAUUCGUCGACGACCAGCCACCCUUCUCACAACUCGCAAGUCGCAUUCGUCCACUUCGCAACUCGCAACUCGCAUUCGUCACUUCGCAAUCGCAACUCGCAUCAACUCGCAAGGAUCUUGAUGACGAUGACAUUGAUGAUGAAAUGGAAGAGAACUAGCGAUAUGGAAGUGGAAAUUUAUG